rnacentral:rRNA from 1 species
GCGGCGUGCCUAAUACAUGCAAGUCGAGCGAACAGACGAGGAGCUUGCUCCUCUGACGUUAGCGGCGGACGGGUGAGUAACACGUGGAUAACCUACCUAUAAGACUGGGAUAACUUCGGGAAACCGGAGCUAAUACCGGAUAAUAUAUUGAACCGCAUGGUUCAAUAGUGAAAGACGGUUUUGCUGUCACUUAUAGAUGGAUCCGCGCCGCAUUAGCUAGUUGGUAAGGUAACGGCUUACCAAGGCAACGAUGCGUAGCCGACCUGAGAGGGUGAUCGGCCACACUGGAACUGAGACACGGUCCAGACUCCUACGGGAGACAGCAGUAGGGAAUCUUCCGCAAUGGGCGAAAGCCUGACGGAGCAACGCCGCGUGAGUGAUGAAGGUCUUCGGAUCGUAAAACUCUGUUAUUAGGGAAGAAUAAAUGUGUAAGUAACUAUGCACGUCUUGACGGUACCUAAUCAGAAAGCCACGGCUAACUACGUGCCAGCAGCCGCGGUAAUACGUAGGUGGCAAGCGUUAUCCGGAAUUAUUGGGCGUAAAGCGCGCGUAGGCGGUUUUUUAAGUCUGAUGUGAAAGCCCACGGCUCAACCGUGGAGGGUCAUUGGAAACUGGAAAACUUGAGUGCAGAAGAGGAAAGUGGAAUUCCAUGUGUAGCGGUGAAAUGCGCAGAGAUAUGGAGGAACACCAGUGGCGAAGGCGACUUUCUGG